rnacentral:lncRNA from 1 species
AGCGAUUGAGCGACUUCACUUUCACUUUUCCCUUUCAUGCACUGGGGAAGGAAAUGGCAACCCACUCCAGUGUUCUUGCCUGGAGAAUCCCAGGGACGGGGGAGCCUGGUGGGCUGCCGUCUCUGGGGUCGCACAGAGUCAGACACGACUGAAGCGACUUAGCAGCAGCAGCACUCUUAAUGCUUUCUAAUAUGGUACAGGUUGAAAUACUCAAUGAUUACUUAGGCCUGUUAAACGACACUUCCUUGAAUGAAGUGGACUAAUACUUUCCCAGAUUAACUUCCGAUUCCAGAAUGUUACUUUUACAUUAAUGGAUGUCUUCAACUCUUGUCCUUUCCAGAACUCUGAUUUCUGCCCAUAUGUUAACACUAACCCAAUUUUGCUGCCAGGCUAUUCAGGUUUUCUUAGGUCAAAAAUCUAAAAUUUCUUUUAAGCUUUAAAAAAAGACUGUUUUUCCCCCAAGGCAACAAAACCUCAGUAUCAUCAUUUAAAAAAUAUAUGAAAUGAAAAUAACAUAUGGAAAGAGCCUGAUGCAGAACUAAAGGAAGCCUGCAGGAAGCGGUGAUCCCUCUGCUGGCCACCUAAACUUGGCCAAGUCUGCACUUGUUCACCAAUAUCACCUUGGGGAACAGCACUACCCAGGUUCAUGGGUUUCUUCCUCAAUGGAGGUCAGCCAGGGAGUUACAGGGCUGCUACUUAAUCGUUCCCUUUCCUUAACCUUCUUUUCCUCUUGAGGGCAGAGUCUGGGGACUCUCAGUAAACCCCUUGACAGGAAAGCUGGCAGGUGGGUAGCACCCCAUGCUGGCCCCUCCGCUUUAUAGGCCUGUUGCCUCUGAAGAAAACCUCACACAGGCCACGACUUGUGUUUUUCCCGCUUCACCGCAGUGGAAGGAAGAGAACGCCACUGGGAGACAAUCCGCGGUACCAAAGAAACCUCCCUCUUUUCUGAUAUGGCUCUCUCCCAGUCCACAGCCUGAAGCUCCAAGGCGCCCUCCCCCAACCCACGAGACAUCAAAGAUGGCGCCAGGCCCGCGCGGCUGGAGGUCACCGGCAGGCGGAAGGGGCAGCCCUAACGCGCGGGGAUACGGGGGCAAGGGAGGACGUGAGGACCCAGGUGGGAGCACGCGAGCCAUCUCCGGGACCUCAUUUCUGCCUAGCAACAUCACAACCAAUCAAGAUGCAACUAGGCCUGGCAGUUCGGCUCAUCCUUCACUGGGAUUGGCUGCUGGCGGUGAGCGCAUCCUAAGUUUUCAUUGGCUGACGGCCACCUGUAUGGAAAUGAGAAUGACAGGGGACUCUCAGCGCCUUCUCUGCUACGUGGACCUGUGGCUUACUGCACUGAAACCUGCAAGCUCAGAGCCAGAACUCCUGGGCUUUUUUCUGCCUUCUCUCCU